AUCGAACUUGGGACCCUUUAGUCUGCAGGCCAAUGCUCUAUCCACCGAGCCAAAUCAGCCAAGGAUGGUCAACUGAUUUUUAUCUCUGCUUCCUCCAUGCAAAAGAGACUCCUUGGAUAUAGCAGAGGUGCUAAGAAGAAUGAAUAAAUGAGAAAAUGAAAGCUAAAGUUCUUGUAAUAUAAUGUUAGAAUCUAUUCAAUCAUUUUCAUCUCAUUUAUAUUACUGUUUUAUACCUAAUACUUAAUUUAUUUUAAUGACCAGGUUAUUAUUUGGAAGAAUUUCAAAGAAAUAUUUUUUUCAGAUAUUGGGAAACAGAUCUUUAUCAUAUUCACAACCUAUUUACUAUUUGCCAAGCAUCAUACCAGUCAAACAGAAUCACACUAUAUACAUUGUUCUGUAGUCAACUAUAAUAAAAUACAACUUGUUAAAUAAACUACUAUUUUAAAAUGAAAUUGAAAUGUCACGUUUAUAAUGCAGGUAAGUUUCUGCUUCUCUAUUUGUUUUACUAGUCUAAUUGUCUAUUUCAAUGCCUAUACUAGUCUGUUUUAGUUACGGUAGAUUUUAAUAAGGUUGAUAUCUGAAGGCAAUUGUUUUUCACAACAUUUUGACUAUUCUCUAUAUUUCAGAUAUUCUUAGAGAUUUUCCUCUUCCAUCUGAACUUUUCCAUAAGCCCUUUUUCAUAUGAACAAAUUUAUCUACUUCCAUGAAUAACCCUUCUGAUUUGGAUUAUAUUUCCUGUAUUAAUUUGGGAAAGAUUGAAAUUUUUUUGAAACAUUAACUCUUCCCACUCAUGCUAAAUAUGGUAUGUCUAGUCAAGCUUUGCUUUAUGUCUUUCAGUAAGAUUACAGAAUUCUUUAUCAUAUGUUUGCUUAAAAUUUACUCUUUUUUAUGCUAUGCUAAUGGAAAAAUUUCCACUUCCAUUUGUAAUGAGUUAGAAAAGUUAUUGGUAUUUGUAUAUUCAUCUUGUAUUCAGCCAUUUUAAUAAAUUUUCUCAAUAGUUCUUGGAAUUUUUCACUGGCAUUUCUAAUUUUUCACUACGAUAUCAGGUAUUUUUCUCCUUUCUCAAUAUUUUCUUAAUGCAUGCCCUAUAAUAUCCAAAACAAGGUCAGAUUAUGUAGUAUUCAUUUGCCACUUGGAGGAAAAAGCUACUCACCAUUUCUGUGCUGAGGAAUUUCUUGCCCAAUAAAUCAGCUUUGAUUUAGAGUCUGAGCUUUGGAGUUGGAAGGCCUUGGAUGGAGUCCCUUUUUUUUUUUUUUUAUCAUGUAUUAGCUAUGUGACUUGAGGGAAGUUAAAAUCAGUUUUCAUCAUCGAUAAAAUGGAUGUAACAAAAGUGCCUAUUUCAAAAUAUUGUUCAAAGGAUUGAAUCUGUAAUAAUGCAACACUUGACUCACUGCCUAUCAACAGGUAAGUGAUAAAAAAAUGCCCACUGUGCCCU